rnacentral:rRNA from 1 species
AGGGGGGGGUCUAUACAUGCAAGUCGAGCGAAUGGAUUGAGAGCUUGCUCUCAAGAAGUUAGCGGCGGACGGGUGAGUAACACGUGGGUAACCUGCCCAUAAGACUGGGAUAACUCCGGGAAACCGGGGCUAAUACCGGAUAACAUUUUGAACUGCAUGGUUCGAAAUUGAAAGGCGGCUUCGGCUGUCACUUAUGGAUGGACCCGCGUCGCAUUAGCUAGUUGGUGAGGUAACGGCUCACCAAGGCAACGAUGCGUAGCCGACCUGAGAGGGUGAUCGGCCACACUGGGACUGAGACACGGCCCAGACUCCUACGGGAGGCAGCAGUAGGGAAUCUUCCGCAAUGGACGAAAGUCUGACGGAGCAACGCCGCGUGAGUGAUGAAGGCUUUCGGGUCGUAAAACUCUGUUGUUAGGGAAGAACAAGUGCUAGUUGAAUAAGCUGGCACCUUGACGGUACCUAACCAGAAAGCCACGGCUAACUACGUGCCAGCAGCAGCGGUAAUACGUAGGUGGCAAGCGUUAUCCGGAAUUAUUGGGCGUAAAGCGCGCGCAGGUGGUUUCUUAAGUCUGAUGUGAAAGCCCACGGCUCACCCGUGGAGGGUCAUUGGAAACUGGGAGACUUGAGUGCGGAAGAGGAAAGCGUAAUUCCAUGUGUAGCGGUGUAAACCGGUAGUGAACACCCAGGAACACCACAGUCUGGAAGACACCCCCUUUUUGU